UGGGGAAUUUUGGACAAUGGGCGAAAGCCUGAUCCAGCAAUGCCGCGUGUGUGAAGAAGGCCUUCGGGUUGUAAAGCACUUUUGUCCGGAAAGAAAUCCUUGGCUCUAAUACAGUCGGGGGAUGACGGUACCGGAAGAAUAAGCACCGGCUAACUACGUGCCAGCAGCCGCGGUAAUACGUAGGGUGCAAGCGUUAAUCGGAAUUACUGGGCGUAAAGCGUGCGCAGGCGGUUUGCUAAGACCGAUGUGAAAUCCCCGGGCUCAACCUGGGAACUGCAUUGGUGACUGGCAGGCUAGAGUAUGGCAGAGGGGGGUAGAAUUCCACGUGUAGCAGUGAAAUGCGUAGAGAUGUGGAGGAAUACCGAUGGCGAAGGCAGCCCCCUGGGCCAAUACUGACGCUCAUGCACGAAAGCAUGGGGAGCAAACAGGAUUAGAUACCCUGGUAGUCCACGCCCUAAACGAUGUCAACUAGUUGUUGGGGAUUCAUUUCCUUAGUAACGUAGCUAACGCGUGAAGUUGACCGCCUGGGGAGUACGGUCGCAAGAUUAAAACUCAAAGGAAUUGAC
rnacentral:rRNA from 1 species